rnacentral:rRNA from 1 species
AGUAUGAUAGAAGAAAAGCAGAAUUUCUAGUGUAGAGGUGAAAUUCGUAGAUAUUAGAAAGAAUACCAAUUGCGAAGGCAGCUUUCUGGAUCAUUACUGACACUGAGGAACGAAAGCAUGGGUAGCGAAGAGGAUUAGAUACCCUCGUAGUCCAUGCCGUAAACGAUGUGUGUUAGACGUUGGAAAUUUAUUUUCAGUGUCGCAGGGAAACCGAUAAACACACCGCCUGGGGAGUACGACCGCAAGGUUAAAACUCAAAUGAAUUGACGGGGACCCGCACAAGUAGUGGAGCAUGUGGUUUAAUUCGAAGAUACGCGCAGAACCUUACCAACACUUGACAUGUUCGUCGCGACUCUAAGAGAUUAGAGUUUUCGGUUCGGCCGGACGAAACACAGGUGCUGCAUGGCUGUCGUCAGCUCGUGUCGUGAGAUGUUGGGUUAAGUCCCGCAACGAGCGCAACCCUCACUUUUAGUUGCCAUCAUUAAGUUGGGCACUCUGAAAGAACUGCCAGUGAUAAGCUGGAGGAAGGUGGGGAUGACGUCAAGUCCUCAUGGCCCUUACGUGUUGGGCUACACACGUGCUACAAUGGCAUCUACAACAGGAAGCAAAACGGCAACGUUAAGCAAAUCCCGAAAAGAUGCCUCAGUUCGGAUUGCACUCUGCAACUCGAGUGCAUGAAGCUGGAAUUACUAGUAAUCGUGGAUCAGCGUGCCACGGUGAAUGCGUUCCCGGGUCUUGUACACACCGCCCGUCACACCAUGGGAGUUGGUUCUACCUUAAGGCAAGGUUUUAAACCCUUGACCACGGUAUAGUCAGCGACUGGGGUGAAGUCGUAACAAGGUAGCCGUA